UCAUAUAGUUACGACCGACCACAAAGUGAAUAGGGGCUUAGUCGUAUCAUUUACAUACGACAGAUCAUACAAUAAAAAACGUGAAAGUCGUAUCAUGAAGAUAAAAAAGACCACACAGUGAAUAGCUUUAAAGUUGUAUCAUUUACAUACUACAGACCACAAAGUGAAUAGCGGAGUAGUGGUAUCAUGGAGAUACGAAAUAGCACACAGUGAAUAGCUUGGAAAUCGUAUCAUUUAGUUACUACAUACCACAAAGUGAAUAGCGGAGUAGUCGUUUCAUACAGAUAAGAAAUACCACAAAGUUAAUAGCGAGGUAGUUGUAUCUUUUAGAUACAACAUAAAACACAGUGGAUAGCUUAUCAUGGAGAUACGAUAUGCCAAAAAGUGAAAAGCGGGGUAUUCUUAUACUAUUAUAGUAUAUGUAAUGUAUAGUAUACAUUAAGUUACGACCCACCACAAAGUUAAUAGCGGCUUAGUCGUAAAGUUUCGAUACGACGGAUCAUACUGUGAAAAGAGGAGAAUUCAUAUCAUGGGGAUACGAAAUACCACACACUGAAUAUAUCGGAGACAGCGUAUCAUUUAGAUACGACUGACCACACAGUGAAUAGCGGAUAAGUCGUAUCAUGGAGAUACGAAAUACCACACAGUGAAUAGCUUGGAAAUCGUAUCAUUUAGUUAUGGCGAUACGACACACUAACAAAUGAAAAGCGGGGAAUUCGUAUCAUAUAUUUACGACCGACCACAAAGUGAAUAGCGGCUUAGUCAUAUCAUUUAGAUACGACGGGCCAUACAAUGAAAAGCGGGGAAGUCGUUUCAUGGAGAUACGAACUACCACACAGUGAAUAGCGGUGAAGUCGUUUCAUGCAGAUACGAAAUACCAUAAAGACAUUGCAACUUGUUAAUGUAAAUGCAGGGCUCUUCGAAAGCGAUCAGUGGGAUAUACGUAUCAUUGAGAUCCCACAGACCACAAUGUGAAUAGCUGGACACCUCAUUUUCUUAGCGUCACAUCUUUGUAAAUGACUCCAUCUCUUUUCAAAUGAUGCAAAACUAUUAUUCGAUCGGCAAGCCAAUGUUUUGUUCAUGCAGCAACUUGUAUAUGUUGCAAGCAAUCGAUGAUGUAACGGUAGCGAUACAAUUUGGUGGAAAUUUGCUCUUCAAACAGGUACAAAAACAUCGAUUUGCUUUUAAAAGUUCAACCAUGUCACAAAGUUUCCAAAUGGGUUGUGAGUAUAUGUUUCUGCACAGUUGUGGAUAAAUUAUUUUGCGUCAAAUCGAACAUAAUUUCCCGAUUUUAACAAAUGCGAAACAUGUUGAAUAAACCCAUAUCAAACAUUCUCAUCCUGUAGAUUUCACCAUAUAUUUUGGAAACUUAGGUUCUUAUCGCCAUCUAAAACGUAUCAUUGACCCGUUCAUUGUUGCAUCUAAAACAAAAGCGAUGUCAGUGAUAAACGACCGUGAAAUGACAUUGAUACCAAUACAUGUAUCUGAUAAAAGUAUUAUAUUCAGUCUGAGGUUUGUUGUAAGAUGGAAAUAGCGGUGUAUUCGUUUAAUCGAGGUUUUCAACCACAUAAUCGAAAAUAAUAAAAAAAAAACUGUUUUAAAAAUUGCUCUUUAUAAGGGGAUAGUCAUAAUAUUGGUGUGGUUAAAACAGGAGAUUUCGAUGAAAUAACAAAGCAUUGAAAACAAAUAUGUAGUUUAGACGGGAUGCUCAUACAUUUGAGUAGAGUACAAUUGUAGUCUGUCUAUCAAACGGAAAUAUUAUUGUUGUAGCUUUGGUAUCACAUAUUUCGAGUAUUUUUGUAAGCGUUCUUUAUAAGGGGAUGGUAUUAUUUUUGAUGUGGGUAAUCAGGGUAUUUCCGUUAAAUAACAAAGCAUUUUAAACGCCUCUGUAUUUUGGACCGGAUGUACAUACAUUUGUAUAGAGUUAUAUUGUACUGUGUCUAUCAAAGGGAGACAUUAUCGUUGUAGCUUUCGUAUAGCAUCUUUCUAGACCACGACUUGCAAGGCUUACUGUCAUACUCCCGACAAAUCAAAAGACAGCCGUCAUGGGUGUGGUGAGAGUAAUUACAUACGUUACAAGUGAUCCUCGGUUGCCAUCGCUAUAGUCGGUGAAAAAUAGUGAAACAGGGUUAUCCGUCGCAUCUGUUUCCGGUCACUUGUCGAUUAUUAAGUAUUCACCAAAGUAUUUCCGCAACUAGAUAAGUAGAUAAAGCUUUGCUUAACAUCUCUUAAUUAAAGUUUAAGAUAGUAUGACUACUACCGAAUGAAUGGUGACAGUCGACGAUAACACAUUAUUUAUAUUCUCAUCCGGUUUGUUUUAAAAUUUCAUAAAAGGGCAUAACCUCUCAUAUGACGGAUGGAUUCUCCAACAACUACUAUUAUGUCAUGAGAAAAUAAAAUAUUCACCACCGCCUUGUUUGCCAACAACGUCUUUACAAGGAAUGUCCAGCAGUGAAGGACAGAGGCCGGUCACUCCCAUUAUAAAAGACAUUAAGUCCAGCUGAAGAGACAUUCCAAAGACAGUUCAUAUGACAAAAUGCAGUUACACAGAUUUUAACUGUGUUGGAAACAAUGAGGGAGGAGAACAGGGAUAUGAAGCGGAUGCUGCAACGGCUCUUGGCUAUGUCAGCUACUGAUGACCAGCCAGUGCAACUGCCAGAGAACAUCAUUCUUCCAAUCGGAACAUUAGAGCAAAUGAACGAGUUUUAAGAGCAUCUUGGUGAUGAAGCUACGAUCCAUCUUUUCUAGGACUGCUGUAUAGUUCAAGCUUUUUAUCAAAUAUAUUAAGCAAUGUUGUGAAUGUAAUUGACAGUUCUUUCUCGAUUUAUCCUAAACCAUUUCUUUAAGGCUCAUCUUCUAAGAAAGCAUACAAUCUUUUUAAUCUGGAAAUGAAACGGUAUAUAUUCCUUUGCAAAAGAAGAAACAGCAUUCCAGUUUUCGAAGGUUUUA